rnacentral:rRNA from 1 species
GAUGAACGCUGGCGGCGUGCCUAAUACAUGCAAGUCGAGCGAACGGACGAGAAGCUUGCUUCUCUGAUGUUAGCGGCGGACGGGUGAGUAACACGUGGAUAACCUACCUAUAAGACUGGGAUAACUUCGGGAAACCGGAGCUAAUACCGGAUAAUAUUUUGAACCGCAUGGUUCAAAAGUGAAAGACGGUCUUGCUGUCACUUAUAGAUGGAUCCGCGCUGCAUUAGCUAGUUGGUAAGGUAACGGCUUACCAAGGCAACGAUGCAUAGCCGACCUGAGAGGGGGAUCGGCCACACUGGAACUGAGACACGGUCCAGACUCCUACGGGAGGCAGCCGUAGGGAAUCUUCCGCAAUGGGCGAAAGCCUGACGGAGCAACGCCGCGUGAGUGAUGAAGGUCUUCGGAUCGUAAAACUCUGUUAUUAGGGAAGAACAUAUGUGUAAGUAACUGUGCACAUCUUGACGGUACCUAAUCAGAAAGCCACGGCUAACUACGUG